rnacentral:rRNA from 1 species
AUUGAACGCUGGCGGCAUGCUUUACACAUGCAAGUCGAACGGUAACAGGGAGCUUGCUCCGCUGACGAGUGGCGAACGGGUGAGUAAUGCGUCGGAACGUGCCGAGUAGUGGGGGAUAACGCAGCGAAAGUUGUGCUAAUACCGCAUACGUACUGAGGUAGAAAGUGGGGGACCUUCGGGCCUCACGCUAUUCGAGCGGCCGGCGUGUGAUGAGCUAGUGGGUGAGGUAAAGGCUGCGCUAGGCGACGAACAGUAGCGGGUCUGAGAGGAUGAUCCGCCACACUGGGACUGAGACACGGCCCAGACUCCUACGGGAGGCAGCAGUGGGGAAUUUUGGACAAUGGGCGACGGCCUGAUCCAGCCAUGCCGCGUGUCUGAAGAAGGCCUUCGGGUUGUAAAGGACUUUUGUCGGGGAGGAAAUCCCCAGCGCUAAUACCGCUGGGGGAUGACAGUACCUGAAGAAUAAGCACCGGCUAACUACGUGCCAGCCGCCGCCGUAAUAC